GUCCCUGGGGGUGCAAAUGAUUAACAUGCUUGGCUGCUAACCAAGAAAUUAGAGGUUCAAGUCCCCCCAGGGGCA
rnacentral:tRNA from 1 species